UACGUAGGGUGCAAGCGUUGUCCGGAAUUAUUGGGCUGAUGAAAGAGCUCGUAGGCGGCUUGUCGCGUCGAAUGAUGAAAACCCGACGGCUCAACCUCGUUGGGCUUGCAUUCGAUACGGGCAGGCUAGAGUUCGGUAGGGGAGGACUGGAAUUCCUGGAUGUAGCGGUGAAAUGCGCAGAUAUCAGGAGGAACACCGGUGGCGAAGGCGGGUCUCUGGGCCGAUACUGACGCUGGAGGAGCGAAAGCCGUGGGGAGCGAACAGG
rnacentral:rRNA from 1 species